rnacentral:rRNA from 1 species
UACGGGGGGGGCAAGCGUUGUUCGGAAUUACUGGGCGUAAAGGGCGCGUAGGCGGCCACCGCAAGUCGACUGUGAAAUCUCCGGGCUUAACCCGGAACGGUCAGCCGAUACUGCGGGGCUAGAGUGCAGAAGGGGCAACUGGAAUUCUCGGUGUAGCGGUGAAAUGCGUAGAUAUCGAGAGGAACACCUGCGGCGAAGGCGGGUUGCUGGGCUGACACUGACGCUGAGGCGCGAAAGCUAGGGGAGCGAACGGG